rnacentral:rRNA from 1 species
AUUGAACGCUGGCGGCAGGCCUAACACAUGCAAGUCGAGCGGAUGAAGGAGCUUGCUCCUGAUUCAGCGGCGGACGGGUGAGUAAUGCCUAGGAAUCUGCCUAUUAGUGGGGGAUAACUCGGGGAAACUCGGGCUAAUACCGCAUAUGUCCUACGGGAGAAAGUGGGGGAUCUUCGGACCUCACGCUAAUAGAUGAGCCUAGGUCGGAUUAGCUAGUUGGUGAGGUAACGGCUCACCAAGGCGACGAUCCGUAGCUGGUCUGAGAGGAUGAUCAGCCACACUGGAACUGAGACACGGUCCAGACUCCUAGGGGAGGCAGCAGUGGGGAAUAUUGGACAAUGGGCGAAAGCCUGAUCCAGCCAUGCCGCGUGUGUGAAGAAGGUCUUCGGAUUGUAAAGCACUUUAAGUUGGGAGGAAGGUCUGUAAGCUAAUAUCUUGCAGUCUUGACGUUACCAACAGAAUAAGCACCGGCUAACUCUGUGCCAGCAGCCGCGGUAA